UUGCAACCAAUUAAGCCAACCAAGGCCCUUUCCCCACGGGGGCCUGGUGUUCUAUGCUCACCAAGAACAGCCUCUUUGACAUGGAGCCUGUAGCCUAUAUGGGUUGCCCUAAGAGACCUUGGAGACAAUU